UACGGAGGAUGCAAGCGUUAUCCGGAAUGAUUGGGCGUAAAGCGUCCGCAGGUGGCUUUGUAAGUCUGCUGUUAAAGAGUGAGGCUCAACCUCAUAAGAGCAGUGGAAACUACAAGGCUAGAGUACGUUCGGGGCAGAGGGAAUUCCUGGUGUAGCGGUGAAAUGCGUAGAUAUCUGGAGGAACACCGGUGGCGAAGGCGGCAUCCUGGACCGACACUGACGCUGAGGAGCGAAAGCCAGGGGAGCAAACGGG
rnacentral:rRNA from 1 species